rnacentral:lncRNA from 1 species
UUUAAUAUAUGGUUAUUUGCAGUGUCUCUGAUCAAACCAACUUCUUCGGAAGUGAAAGAAUUGGGAGACUUUCUAGCAGGGAAGACUACGGAGGCGAGUGAAGAGCUUCCUACCGAAGAGUCUUCCCGAACCGACCCCCCCGCCUCCGAUCCACCAACCAUUUCCCUUCAGAAUGAUGAGCCUGAAGCUGACGAGCCUCUCAUUCCCGAAGAAACCCUCAGACCUCGCCGAAGGAAGAAAGCUGCUAAAAAAGCCAGA